rnacentral:ncRNA from 1 species
AGCAGCAGCUAGGGGUCCGUUCCGGAAUCGUCCGGCAACCGGUGAGAUAGUCCCUUAAUACCUGACACGGAUAAUGCCGCCGUAGGGAAGCUGGGAACUAGUUAU